CGAUUAUCUGCCUUAUCCUAGUGUGUGGUUUUCUCCACAAUAAACAUCUCCGCAAAUGGAUUCAAAUACUCAACCGAGUCAGUCAUCCUUACAGAAUACUUCGCCUGACCAGAAUCCAGCGGAGAUUUCACAUCUUCAGGCCGCCUUUGCUUAUCAAAAUGAGAGGAUUACGUAGUUCCAAGCUCAACUUUCAUCUCUGCGAGCCGCUAAUGAACAUCUCACCCGCUACAUACAAUCUCUCCCAGCGACUCGACCUGAGGCGGCUACAAGAUCAGUCAUCAUGGAGUGGAGAUGGACGCAAGGAAGGUUGAGGCAGUUACAGAGUGGCCACGUCCCACUACGAAAACUAACCACAGCAGAGAAAAACUAUGAUGUAGGAAACAAGGAACUACUUUCCAUCAAGGAAGCACUGUCUGAGUGGAGACACUGGUUGGAGGGAGCACGUCAUCCAUUUCAGGUGAUUACAGAUCACAAAAAUUUGGAGUAUAUCAAGAGUGCUAAACGUCUGAACCCGAGGCAGGCUCGGUGGUCAUUAUUCUUCACAAGAUUUCAUUUCACAGUAACAUAUCGCCCAGGAAGCAAGAAUGGUAAAGCCGACGCGUUGUCACGAAUAUAUGAGUCAGAGGAAACUUCUUGCUGCCAAGGACCAAUUCUACCUCCAUCAGCCAUUUUGGCACCUAUUCGUUGGGAUAUAAUGGAGGAAAUUCAAAGAAAACAACUAACAGAACCCACACCAUCAGGUUGCCCCCCUA